rnacentral:rRNA from 1 species
UGUGCCUACGGGACGCAGCAGUGGGGGAUAUUGCACAAUGGGGGGAACCCUGAUGCAGCGACGCCGCGUGGGUGAAGGAGCGUUUCGGCGCGUAAAGCCCUAUCGGCAGGGAAGAAGAUGACGGUACCUGACCAAGAAGCCCCGGCUAACUACGUGCCAGCAGCCGCGGUAAUACGUAGGGGGCAAGCGUUAUCCGGAUUUACUGGGUGUAAAGGGGGCGCAGACGGCAAUGCAAGCCAGGAGGGCAAGCCCGGGGCCCAA